UCUAGGUCUGGGACAACAGAUGGAAACGUCUGCUAAUACGGAUGUGCCGAGAGGUGAAAGGCUAGCUGCCAGAGAUGAGCUCGCGUCAGAUUAGCUAGUAGGUGGGGUAAAGGCCCACCUAGGCGACGAUCUGUAGCUGGUCUGAGAGGACGAUCAGCCACACUGGGACUGAGACACGGCCCAGACUCCUACGGGAGGCAGCAGUGGGGAAUUUUCCGCAAUGGGCGAAAGCCUGACGGAGCAAUACCGCGUGAGGGAGGAAGGCUCUUGGGUUGUAAACCUCUUUUCUCAAGGAAUAAGAAUGAAGGUACUUGAGGAAUAAGCAUCGGCUAACUCCGUGCCAGCAGCCGCGGUAAUACGGAGGAUGCAAGCGUUAUCCGGAAUGAUUGGGCGUAAAGCGUCCGUAGGUGGUUUUGUGUGUCUGCUGUUAAAGCGUGCGGCUUAACCGCAUAAGGGCGGUGGAAACUACAAGACUAGAGUACGUUCGGGGCAGGGGGAAUUCCCAGUGUAGCGGUGAAAUGCGUAGAGAUUGGGAAGAACACCGGUGGCGAAAGCGCCCUGCUAGGCCGUAACUGACACUGAGGGACGAAAGCUAGGGG
rnacentral:rRNA from 1 species